rnacentral:lncRNA from 10 species
AUUUUGAGAUCUUGCCUGCUCUUAAUAGGGAGUUUGUGACACUUAGAUUUUCAAGUGUUCAUUUUAUACCUUUCCCAAAUCUGGUUGCAGUGUAUUUAGUCAAGCAUUGAAGACCUAACAUAUGGCAUGUUUUGCAAGGCACAGGGAAAGAAAAAUGAACUGAGAACAGUGAGACCUUGUGGAAGUUCCCAGGGUGGGACGUUGAAACCCUGGGUCCUGGGCCUUCCUGAAUCACAGCCUCGGUGGGAGGAUUUUAUGAAAGGUACAGUGCAGUUGCAUCAUCUUACACAGUUGUACAGGACUGGGACCAAAAAAGGUGCCAUGUAAAUAGUGCAUGCAAUUGUGUUCAGUGUUCGUUCAGUGAGGACAGCCCCACUGAGCUACCUGUGUACUCAGGUGGUCUCGGUUCCCUUUGCGUUCUAAUGGUUUGAGUUUCUUGCUGUAUUGAGAGUGAUUCUAGUGUUUAGAGACUUUUUCAAACAUCACGGUCUCCAGAUGUGAAGCCAACUACCUCAUUUAUUGUAUGGUUGAACAAACAGAUUUGUUCUGAUGUUGGAAGGAAAACUAGCUGCUUUUGAUUUGUUAAAAGAUGGUACAUGAGUGUUUGUGAUAUGUAAAUACUAAUGUGAAAGAUUGUAUACCAUGUACUUAAUGUCUGACUUAGUGGAAUUUCAAAGGCAACUUUGACUAAGCAAAUUUGAUAAAGAAUUGGUUUAAGAAUAAGAUGCAACUAUACUUAGUGACUUUGGCUCACAGUUUCAUCAUCCAUAAAAUAUUAGAAGAUAAAAUUAAAUUAUAUUUGCAAGAGACACAAGACUAUUAAGGAGGGCUAGAAGUUAUCCAACAGUGGAGUGAUUUAGAUGACAAGGAGUUAUUAAUCAUAUUUGCCAUUUCCUGUCACUGGAAUGGGUAACCUUGCUUGGCUUGAAUCUCCAGUUCUGGGAAAGAACAGUGCUGUGCUUGAGAGCAGUUUAGUAGACCAGACUGAAAUAAACGCUCUUUCUAAA